rnacentral:lncRNA from 12 species
GUAGUGUGCUAGGAAAGGACAGGGCGGCACCACUCCCCCUUCUCUGUGAUAGUGCCAUCGUUACCUAGGUCUAUUUAGGGAACUUUCCAAAACACAGAGAAGCUUUGUGGGUCUGGCUCUCAGAACUUAUGCAACCAAUUGUUAUGGGAACAGCCUGGAAAUUUCACAAGAAAGCAGAGUUCUCAAGAGGUUGACAGUUUGACCAAAGGAUCAAAGAACGCUUGAAUUGGAUCUUGUGACUGGAAACAUUAACUCUCUGUGUUGAUCACCUGGAGACCUGUUUUCAAUCCUCUGAAGAUCGCCAAGUGAAGGCCUACCCCUUGAAAGUCUUAAAAGUAGAAUCUUUCAGGCUGUAAAGAUUCAAGAGCCCGGGAUGUCCUGCGUGGAGUACUUCUGGCCUCAGCCACCCAGAUUCAGAAAAUGUGAACAAAGCAUGUAAACUACUGACCUGGAUUUUAUGGAUGGAACAGAAGCUCCAGAGAGGGAGGAGGACAAAUUGCCCCUAUAGUCAUCUGCAUAUGAUUAGGCCAACUAUGGGUGGAGAAAAGAGGUAAGAG